GCGUGCUUAACACAUGCAAGUCGAGCGGUAAGGCCCUUCGGGGUACACGAGCGGCGAACGGGUGAGUAACACGUGGGUAACCUGCCCUGUACUCUGGGAUAAGCCUGGGAAACUAGGUCUAAUACCGGAUAUGACCUGUCACUGCAUGGUGGUGGGUGGAAAGUUCCGGCGGUACAGGAUGGACCCGCGGCCUAUCAGCUUGUUGGUGGGGUAAUGGCCUACCAAGGCGACGACGGGUAGCCGGCCUGAGAGGGUGACCGGCCACACUGGGACUGAGACACGGCCCAGACUCCUACGGGAGGCAGCAGUGGGGAAUAUUGCACAAUGGGCGAAAGCCUGAUGCAGCGACGCCGCGUGAGGGAUGACGGCCUUCGGGUUGUAAACCUCUUUCAGCGGGGACGAAGGGCAACUGACGGUACCCGC
rnacentral:rRNA from 1 species